UCCCUGGUGGCUCAGACGGUAAAGCGUCUGUCUACAAUGCAGGAGACCAGGGUUCAAUCCCUGGGUUGGGAA
rnacentral:tRNA from 1 species